UGAAAAUCAUUCAUCAACGAAAUUAACACUGGGUUGCAGUAGGUAUGAUUCACUGGACAAAAGUGGUCCGAGACAUCGAGUCAUGCCGAAAUGCAGACAAGGGAAUUCCAGUAUUUAAGAGCAAGUGUCUGAAGAAACUAUGUCAAAUUUCCUACCUUAAACAGAAGAUUAGUGACUACA